rnacentral:rRNA from 1 species
AUUGAACGCUGGCGGCAGGCCUAACACAUGCAAGUCGAACGAGUGGCGGACGGGUGAGUAAUGUCUGGGAAACUGCCUGAUGGAGGGGGCUAACUACUGGAAACGGUAGCUAAUACCGCAUACCAUCGGAUGUGCCCAGAUGGGAUUAGCUAGUAGGUGGGGUAACGGCUCACCUAGGCGACGAUGCGUAACUGGUCUGAGAGGAUGAUCAGUCACACUGGAACUGAGACACGGUCCAGACUCCUACGGGAGGCAGCAGUGGGGAAUAUUGGACAAUGGGCGAAAGCCUGAUCCAGCCAUGCCGCGUGUGUGAAGAAGGUUUUCGGAUUGUAAAGCACUUUAAGUAGGGAGGCGUUACCAACAGAAUAAGCAACGGCUAACUUCGUGCCAGCCGCCGCGGUAAUUC